rnacentral:lncRNA from 1 species
GGUUGUGUUCGAGAUUAUAGAGAGAUUGUGUUUCAUACAAUGAAAAAGCAUAUAUUUUUAUACUUUCACCUCAACUUCUGUUCGUAUAAUAUCGUUAGAUAACUCUUUGUAUCAAAAGAAACCGUUAAUUAAUUGCAAGUUUGUAGAACUUAUCUCUUCACUCUAUUUUGAAGAAAAGUUUUUCCUAUACCAUCUUUCUUUUAUUUGAAAUCACUUUGAAUGUUCUUAACUCGAUUUGUGACCAGCUCUACAUUUCACUAUUAUUGCAGAAGAAACACUCUC